UACGGAGGGUGCGAGCGUUGUCCGGAAUCAUUGGGCGUAAAGGGCGCGUAGGUGGCCCGGUCAGUUCGUGGUGAAAGCCCGGGGCUCAACUCCGGAAUUGCCUUUAAAACUGCAUCGCUAGAAUUGUGGAGAGGUAAGUGGAAUUCCGAGUGUAGAGGUGAAAUUCGUAGAUAUUCGGAAGAACACCAGUGGCGAAGGCGACUUACUGGACACAUAUUGACGCUGAGGUGCGAAAGCGUGGGGAGCAAACAGG
rnacentral:rRNA from 1 species